rnacentral:rRNA from 1 species
AGAGUUUGAUCCUGGCUCAGGACGAACGCGGCGGCGUGCCUAACACAUGCAAGUCGAACGGAAUUGAGGGGCUUGCUCUUCAAUUUAGUGGCGCACGGGUGAGUAACGCGUAGAUAAUCUGCCUGACGAUCUGGGAUAACACUUCGAAAGAGGUGCUAAUACCGGAUAAGCCCACGGAGUCUUUGGAUUCUGCGGGAAAAGGGGGGGACCUUCGGGCCUUCUGUCGUCAGAUGAGUCUGCGUACCAUUAGCUAGUUGGUAGGGUAAUGGCCUACCAAGGCUACGAUGGUUAGCUGGUCUGAGAGGAUGAUCAGCCACACUGGAACUGAGACACGGUCCAGACUCCUACGGGAGGCAGCAGUGGGGAAUUUUGCGCAAUGGGGGAAACCCUGACGCAGCAACGCCGCGUGAGUGAUGAAGGCUUUCGGGUCGUAAAGCUCUGUCAGAGGGGAAGAAAUGGAAACGGUUAAUACCCGUUUUUCUUGACGGUACCCUCAAAGGAAGCACCGGCUAACUCCGUGCCAGCCGCCGCGGUAAUAC